CCCCCCGCCCGCCCCGGCACCCCUGCCCCGGGGCCGGACAGCGCUGGUGGCUCGCUCUCGGGCCACCCCCGGGCACGGGUGCGCGCGAGCACUGGGACGCGCGCGCGCGCGCGCACGCACCCUGGGCUGAACGCCCGGGCGUGCGAGCCGGGGCUCCGCGCACGCACCGAAUCUUGGACGCGAACGGGGCACCCGGCCUCUCCCUGCCUGGUGCACGAACCUACUGACACGCGUUGCACUUCAGAGUCGUGCAAACCCCUGCCCCAGCGCGGGCCAAUAGAAAAGGGUGUGAGUGAGCCUUCCUGCGUCUAGGGGGAGCAGGGGCGACGGAUAGGCUAAGGGAGCAAGACUUUCCGUGGCGCACCAGGACUGCGCACCCCCUGCGCAGAGUCGGCGCGGGGCGCUGCGCGCAGGGCCAUCCAGGCUUGCCCCAGCAGGCUCCCCCUAGCGGCUGUGCGGGGAACAGCGCACAGGAGGUCAUUGCCCCGGCCUAGGCUAGGGGUGGUGGCUUGGACCAGGGCAGGAUCAGCAGAGGCCCUGGACAUAUUAUCCAUCACCAAGAGACAAGCAGCACGGUGACGUACACCUGUAAUCCCAGCCCUCAGGAGGCUGAGGCAGGAGCAUGACAGAGUUUGAGGCCAGCCUGGCCUACAUAGCAAGACCCUGUCUCUGAACAAGUUCAACAAGUGACCGGAGGCUGGAAAUGGUGUGCACAUCCAUCCAAGAGACUCCAAAGAACAAAGCCUAAAGCCAGGUGUGGCAGUGCACGCCUGUGAGCCAAGCACUUGGGAGGCUGAGGCAGGAGGAUCACUGUGAGUUCGAGGCCACCCUGAACUACAUAGCAAGACCGUCUCUGAAAAAUCAAAAAAUAAAUAGUAG
rnacentral:lncRNA from 1 species